GGCGAACGGGUGAGUAACACGUGGGUGAUCUGCCCUGCACUUCGGGAUAAGCCUGGGAAGCUGGGUCUAAUACCGGAUAGGAGCCAUUUUUAGUGUGAUGGUUGGAAAGUUUUUCGGUGUAGGAUGAGCUCGCGGCCUAUCAGCUUGUUGGUGGGGUAAUGGCCUACCAAGGCGGCGACGGGUAGCCGGCCUGAGAGGGUGGACGGCCACAUUGGGACUGAGAUACGGCCCAG
rnacentral:rRNA from 1 species